rnacentral:rRNA from 1 species
UGGCGGACGGGUGAGUAAUGUCUGGGAAACUGCCCGAUGGAGGGGGAUAACUACUGGAAACGGUAGCUAAUACCGCAUAACGUCGCAAGACCAAAGAGGGGACCUUCGGGCCCCUUGCCAUCGGAUGUGCCCAGAUGGGAUUAGCUAGUAGGUGGGGUAACGGCUCACCUAGGCGACGAUCCCUAGCUGGUCUGAGAGGAUGACCAGCCACACUGGAACUGAGACACGGUCCAG